CCUACGGGAGGCAGCAGUGAGGAAUAUUGGUCAAUGGUCGAGAGUCUGAACCAGCCAAGUCGCGUGAGGGAAGACGGCCCUACGGGUUGUAAACCUCUUUUGUCGGGGAGCAAAGCGAGUCACGUGUGUCUCAUUUAGAGUACCCGAAUAAAAAGCAUCGUCUAACACCGUUCCAGCAGCCGCGGUAAUACGGAGGAUGCGAGCGUUAUCCGGAUUUAUUGGGUUUAAAGGGUGCGCAGGCGGAGGUGCAAGUCAGCGGUCAUCUUGCGGGGCUCAACCCCGUACUGCCGUUGAAACUGCAUCACUUGAGUGCGCGAGAAGUUUGCGGAAUGCGUGGUGUAGCGGUGAAAUGCAUAGAUAUAACGCAGAACUCCGAUUGCGAAGGCAGCAUACCGGCGCGCAACUGACGCUCAUGCACGAAAGCGUGGGUAUCGAACAGGAUUAGAUACCCUUGUAGUC
rnacentral:rRNA from 1 species